CCAAGUGACCCUGGCAAUCGUCCCAACUCCCACGCUGCAGAGGAAGAUGAAAAAAACCCAGGGUCACUGCCAACCUCACCUGGGGGAAAACUUCUUCCUGACUCUACAUAUGACAGCAGGUAGACCCCGAGCCUGUGAAUAAAAACCAGUCAGCCAACCACCUGAAAGAAUGUUCUGUAUCACCUCAGAGCACAGGAACCACCCUAUCCAUCUCCAGCUGUGGCCAUCUCUGAUCCUUCAGAGGAACAAAGGGAAAAAACAUCAGAAUGGCCAUACAGGGCUACUGAGCCCCGCCCCACACCAUCACAGGAGAGAAGCGACUUUGUCUGUACAAAGUGCAAGCUGGUCUCCGUAUUGGAAGAGGAGGUUCGAGGUCUGGAGAAACAGGUAUCGAUCCUGUGUUGCAUAAGAGAAAAUGAAGAUUUCCUGCACAGACGUCAGGUUAUGCUUCUACGGGCACAACAUUCUGAAGAAUCAGAGCAGGCUGCGCAGCAGGGACAGAAGGACAGUGAAGAAAUUUGGCAGCAUGUGACUUCCAGAAGAAGAAAGAGGAGCGUCCACGUACCAGCAAUGCAGAUACAGAACUUCAAGUGCUGUGAUAAAUCCAGCUGGAUGCUCAAGUGGUCUUCCUUCAGCUGCUCAUGCUGUUUCAGGGUGCAAGGGCCCUGCAUGUCAGGGGAGCUGUGCAGCAGGUUCACUCUUCCAGUUUAAAGAAGCCCCACAAUACAGAUGCUGAAGGGUUUAUUCCCCCACACUGUGUCCUGCCCCAGUUAGGGCUGUGAUUAUUCUCCUGCACUGAGAGAGGAGCUGCAGCAUAAACUACUGGAGGAGGCGCAAGGGGUUGUGGGAGUUUCCACGGGGCUGCAACAGGAGGCAGUCGCACUUUCUGUGGGAAGGACACGGACUGCAUAGCUGGCACCUGCAGGACUCUGCCUUUCUGUCCUAUGUGAGCUAUUACAGCAACAAAUCUCCCUCUCUGGCCAGCCUGAGCCUACUGAAUGACAGCUCCGCCCCGCCACCAGCACAGAGCAGCACCUGCAGCAGGAGCCAGGGGAGCAAUCUGCGUUGUCCGUGCUGCCACUGAACGUGCAUGCGGCCCCGCCUGGGAUAUGCGCAGCGUUGGCACAAGCCCAGGAAGAGAACGAAGCUGCUGCCCUUACCCUGAGCUUCAAACUUCCCCCCACAGCCCGCCCGCCGCGGGACGGGGAGGGAGAAGGGUGAUGAUUAGAGCGAGAGGAGGGGUAUAGAGGAGCGAACUGCUGUCGCGGUGGCAAGGGUGGGGGCGAGUGAGGAGCAGAUCAGGUACCUGGUUUUUAGAGCGGCAGCUAGAAGCCUGGGCCGUUUCACAGUAGGCUGGCUGGCCUGGCAUUCAGAACAACAUCGGGCUAGCGUGUGACCUUAAAUAAUGAUGCUGAUUGUUUUGUUGGUAGACAGCUCGUGCAGAAAACCUCCAUAUCAUUCUCAUAUCGCCACUUAAAGCUAGUCUACAGAGCUGGUAGUUUUUCAUUGUGGCAUGGCCUCCCGGGCGGGGGGGG